GAUGAACGCUGGCGGCGUGCCUAAUACAUGCAAGUCGAGCGAACAGACGAGGAGCUUGCUCCUCUGACGUUAGCGGCGGACGGGUGAGUAACACGUGGAUAACCUACCUAUAAGACUGGGAUAACUUCGGGAAACCGGAGCUAAUACCGGAUAAUAUAUUGAACCGCAUGGUUCAAUAGUGAAAGACGGUUUUGCUGUCACUUAUAGAUGGAUCCGCGCCGCAUUAGCUAGUUGGUAAGGUAACGGCUUACCAAGGCGACGAUGCGUAGCCGACCUGAGAGGGUGAUCGGCCACACUGGAACUGAGAACAGGUCCAGACUCCUACGGGAGGCAGGAGUAGGGAAUCUUCCGCAAUGGGCGAAAGCCUGACCGAGCAACCCCGCGUGGGGGAAGAAGGGCUUCGGGUUGUAAAACCCUUUUAUUAGGGAAGAACAAAUGUGUAAGUAACUAUGCACGUCUUGACGGUACCUAAUCAGAAAGCCACGGCUAACUACGUG
rnacentral:rRNA from 1 species